CCCUGCAUUCGGAAGUGAUCGUGGGCUGCCCGUGCCCUGGUCAUUGAUAGUGCAGGGAGAGGAGUUGCUGAAAGCCUUUCCCCGUGUUUGGAGGGUUCACUCCUGUCCCUUGCAAACUCUGGAGCUUUCGUACA
ensembl:snoRNA SNORA71 Small nucleolar RNA SNORA71